UCUUCCCAAAAAAAUGUCCUCUAACUUGUUGUUCUGGUUUUUCCUCCAGCAAAGACCAACUCAUCUUGCCAUGGGCAUUAAGGAUCCCAGGUGAACAGCACAAUACAGCCCCAUGUCAAGGUGUGAUUAACAUCAGCUUCCCACUCCUCAGGACAGACACACUGUGGGGGCCUGAAUACAUGUUGUAUUGUGAGAUCAGUGUGUGUCUAAGUUACUCCAAACGAGCUGCAGCUGCAGGGUCCUUAGUUGGGCAACAGCUGUAGCUCGUGAGGGUAACUGAGAUAAAUAGGGGUGGGUCAAGAGCCCAAGAGGAGCCCCUGAGAAGACAGAAGAAGAGCCCCAGCAGAGAGGGAAGAACAACGCUGCAGCCAAACAGAGAGAGAGAGAAGGUAUGGAAUCCCCCGGACAGCCGAGAGCUGUGACAGCCUGAGAGCUGGGACUUUACGUGUAACAACAACACACAUCUUCACUUCCCAGGGGAGCACCCAAGCUGUUAAUAAGGGCCUGGAGGUGGAAAGCAUCAGGUUCAAAAGCAGAGGGAGCAGCAGUAGCUGUGAGAAGCAGCCUUACAAACUGGAACCAGAGCUGGCAGCAGUGCUGGAGCACUGGGCAUGGAUCAGGCUGGAGAAAAAGAAUUAACAGUUCCAUGCUCAGAAGCCUGGAGAGUGAGAAAGCAGCUGUCACCCGUGGAGGGAGGGGAAAUGCUGAGCUGCCACACAUAAACUCAGCGGGCUGUUUAAAGACGAUGCACACAUCUGAAUGCUCUCACUGCUGCUGUUCCUCUCUGAAUUUGGCCUUGGCACCAUGGCAAGGAUCAGCCCUGCCUGCAGGACAGGAGUGGGAUGGGAUGGGAUGGGAUGGGAUGGGAUGGGAUGGGAUGGGAUGGGAUGGGAUGGGAUG
rnacentral:lncRNA from 1 species